GCACCAAAUUACAAUUGGGCCAUCAAACUCAAAGAGAAUGCAAUCGGGUCCCUGAACAACGCAAAUGCAUGCAAUUCAAUCCAAAUUGACUUGUUGAAUUGAUCUUUGG